UGUGAGCUCGAUGAGUAGGGCGGGACACGUGGUAUCCUGUCUGAAUAUGGGGGGACCAUCCUCCAAGGCUAAAUACUCCUGACUGACCGAUAGUGAACCAGUACCGUGAGGGAAAGGCGAAAAGAACCCCGGCGAGGGGAGUGAAAAAGAACCUGAAACCGUGUACGUACAAGCAGUGGGAGCACAGAGCAAUCUGUGUGACUGCGUACCUUUUGUAUAAUGGGUCAGCGACUUAUAUUCUGUAGCAAGGUUAACCGAAUAGGGGAGCCGAAGGGAAACCGAGUCUUAACUGGGCGUUAAGUUGCAGGGUAUAGACCCGAAACCCGGUGAUCUAGCCAUGGGCAGGUUGAAGGUUGGGUAACACUAACUGGAGGACCGAACCGACUAAUGUUGAAAAAUUAGCGGAUGACUUGUGGCUGGGGGUGAAAGGCCAAUCAAACCGGGAGAUAGCUGGUUCUCCCCGAAAGCUAUUUAGGUAGCGCCUCGUGAAUUCAUCUCCGGGGGUAGAGCACUGUUUCGGCAAGGGGGUCAUCCCGACUUACCAACCCGAUGCAAACUGCGAAUACCGGAGAAUGUUAUCACGGGAGACACACGGCGGGUGCUAACGUCCGUCGUGAAGAGGGAAACAACCCAGACCGCCAGCUAAGGUCCCAAAGUCAUGGUUAAGUGGGAAACGAUGUGGGAAGGCCCAGACAGCCAGGAUGUUGGCUUAGAAGCAGCCAUCAUUUAAAGAAAGCGUAAUAGCUCACUGGUCGAGUCGGCCUGCGCGGAAGAUGUAACGGGGCUAAACCAUGCACCGAAGCUGCGGCAGCGACACUGUGUGUUGUUGGGUAGGGGAGCGU
rnacentral:rRNA from 1 species